rnacentral:rRNA from 1 species
GACGUAGGGGGCGAGCGUUGUCCGGAUUUAUUGGGCGUAAAGCGUGCGUAGGCGGCUGCGCAAGUCGGUUGUGAAAACUCGAGGCUCAACCUCGAGACGCCGAUGGAAACCAUGUGGCUAGAGUCCGGAAGAGGAGAGUGGAAUUCCUGGUGUAGCGGUGAAAUGCGCAGAUAUCAGGAGGAACACCGGUGGCGAAGGCGGGUCUCUGGGCCGAUACUGACGCUGAGGGGCGAAAGCCAGGGGAGCAAACGGG